rfam:Ramazzottius varieornatus DNA, contig: Scaffold001, strain: YOKOZTNA-1.
GCCGACUUAGCUCAGCGGUAGAUGCGCUUGCCUAGUAAGCAAGAUGUCGGGAGUUCGAUCCUCCCAGUUGGCU